UAGGCUUUUUUUAAAUGAAAAUAUUGUUUUGGUGAUCUUAGAACAUGUUGAUAGUUCUUAAUCGAGAACUGUUUUUGGGCGUGUUCUACUGUGACGUGGUGUAGUAUGAUUGGAAACAAAUUUUUUUGCAACCGAGAGCUCUCGUUUCAUUCUUCAUUCUUCAAUCAUCUCCGAUCAAAAUCUCAUCUUUCUGAUUGCAAUGCAUACUCUCAAGGACAAGGUCUCCCAAAAGCUUUUUAAUCUCUUCGCUGAUUCCCCAAGCCAAUCUGCUUCUCCACGCUUCUCCAACUCCGAUUCUCCAAAGAUCAAUUAGAGUGAAAAUGCACGUCUGAAAUUGAAAUUGACAUUGAAUCGACGACUAGAAGGGAGAAAGGAUUGAUCUAGUAGUCAUGGAAGAAUCUAGGGUUUCGAUUUCACUGGAGUUGAUUGUGUAUGCCCUGCUUGCUGUGGUAUCUUCAUUCGAAGAUCAAUUAGAGAUUGAUUCGAGUUCAUUUCAAUGGAGGCAGAAAAAAAAGCAUUCUUCUUGCGGCUUCUACAGAUUUCUUCAGUUUUGGUCAGAACCUCCAUUGGUUAAGGAACCAUUGAGGAAGUCUUCGUUGGAUGUUCUUCUCUUAUAGAGUUGGUUCUUACUAAUAAAAAGAUCUUGGUAACCUUACGCAGCUUGAGUACUUUGAUGCUUCUGAGAACUGAUUAUCUGGAGAGAUACCAACAAAGAUCUGUGGAUUGCCUAAUCUGGUGUUCUUGAAUCUAGCCAAGAAUAAUCUGGGAGGAGAGGUGCCGAGAGAUGGUGUUUGCCAGGAUCCUUCCAAGGCAUUGCUUUCAGGGAACAAAGAGUUGUGUGGCAGAGUGAUUGGAUCAGAUUGCAAGAUCGAUGGAACUAAGUUGAUGAGUGCUUGGGGACUUGCAGGGCUCAUUCUUGGGGGUAUGAUCAUCAUCUCUGUGUUUGUUUUCUCUCUGUGCAAAUGGGUUAUGACAAAGAGAGUGAAGCAUAGAGAUGAGCUCAAGAACCCAAGUUCGUAAGUUUUAAACAUGUUUGGCUCAAGAACCCAAUUUAUGAUGAUCUGUUUCAUGUUUUGGUAUUAGUUCCUCUUAUUAGGAUUCAUUUGUGACUUUCAUUGAAAGUUAUAGAGCUGCUGACUUUUUCACAAUUUGAAAUU